rnacentral:ncRNA from 1 species
CCGUACGUUUCUUUUGCUUCGCAGUACCGGGGAAAGAACCGCGCCCAACCCCACCAGCCUCCCCGUGGAGGCGCCCUCACUCACACGGGUGAACAAGUCCAACUCAGCUGGAUUUGGGAGCGGUUGCGGGGCAUAUGCUCGCCCCGACAACCCCCAAAAAUGAGACGGCCCCCGUCGGGACGGCAAUCCCGGGCGAGGGCCUGACCAACAAGGAAGUCGCCACUUCCCC